GUAAGUGUGAAGAGGUGUGCGUCUGCAGGAUUUCACUAAAUUCCCAUUGACUCAAGCCUCCCUCUGUUUCUCACAAUACGGUCAAGGGAGCAGCUCAUUUAUAAAAGGACAGGCCAGUUUCAACCUGAUGGGUUGAAAGAAUUAGCCAGUGCCAAAUGAUACUUUAUUGAUCUUUUCUUGGGAAGGUGAGGGGAAGUGGGGCAACGUAGAGUCCUCAAAUUGCUUGUCUGGGUUCAUCUUCCCCGAAGGGGCAGCUUGCAUACAAUCCCCGUUAUAUUGGCUUUGGCAUAGUGGCGGGCUUUUAGGAUGCUGUCGGCUCUCCAUCUGUGUGUCGAUAGAUUAUUUUAAGGGGGCAUGCUUGGACCUUCAUUGACCAUGAGAAUCUGUCCAACUUCCACACUGUGUGAAUAUCCAAGACAAACACACGUAUCUACCAUUAAAACGGAGGAAGCAGACGCAACUAUUUACGGAACAGGAUUCCAGGUCUUAAGUGUGACAAUCUCUAGGUUCAUCCACGUUGCUUCAACUUUCUACUCUCAUAUUUCUCUGAAAAUUAUUUGGCCAAUGGUCAUGAACUAUCAAGGGGAUGCUAUUCAUAGCCAAGAUACUGUCUGGGUGAGCCUAAGUCUCCAUAAUGAAGAGCUUACUAAUAACUGCUCCAUGACUGAACCACACUGACUCUGCAUUGUCAACUCCAUCUUAUCCCCAGCCAAGAUGCCCUACCCACUCCUCUCUCUGAAUGACUGAGCUUUAGUCUACUCACAAGGAAUGUGGCCAGGCUAGGAAAUUUCCCUACCACCUUUUAUCCUUGCCUUCUUCUGACACAGGAACUGAAAGAGUGCCUUUUGCUGACACAUAUGGUUAAUGGUCAGGAGACUCUCAGGGCAAGGAAAACCGUGUUCCCUUCAGUGCUAAUCUUUCUCUUAGCUGGUAGUCAUGAUCUGUUUUUAGCUUUGGCCCCUUUAAGUCCCCUGUACCCACUUUAAGCAGUGCAGAGCACAGCCUUGAAUGCCUCUGGAC
ensembl:lncRNA